AUACUUGACCCUUGUUAUCUUUACGACUAAUUACUCAUUCCUACUAAUCGUAUGUUUCAUUAUAUUAUUUGAUUAAUGUAGCUUACAAAAAAAUAUAAUUGAACAAAAACAUCAAUAAUUUAUGUAUCAUGAACAAGAAUUCUGUUAAUAUUUAUAUAAUGUAUUGUAAGUAAUAAGAAACAGAGAUUCGCAAUUACUAAAUGAUCCAAUUACGGUUAAUGAUUUACAAUGUUACUGGUAGACUACGAGUGUGUUUGUAAUCAAAACAAUAAUAUUUUUAUUACAACUACAUUAUUGUUUGCAGUACAUAUCGUUCGUAGCGUCACUUAAAAAUCGUUUAGUUUGGUUUACCCUUUAUGUAGUGUUAGGCCUUAACAAGACUAUUAUAGUAAAAACCGCACCGGAAACAGUAAACGGUACAAUGCAUGUAUUACUCCGUGCUAUUUGUUAGUGUGUUUUAAAAUAUUAUAAAAUAAUAAUGUUACAAUAACAAUCGAGGUGGUAUUCAUAGCAAAGUAUCUUGUACUGUUUAUCGAAAACUGUGUUUUUGUAAACAAACUCGCGCGCUCGCAUCCCGCCCCGCCACCGCCACCCGCACCCGAGCCGGCGUCCGGCUUGGCGGCCAUUGUGUUUUUGACCAGCGAGCGAGCGCAGUAUUGCAGAUUGAAUUUGAAGUGUUUUUCGCCUUUUUGGGUUAUUAUUACAAAACCAGUGACGAGAUGGAUGAUGACAUUGACCAAGACGUCCCUCAGUUAUUAAAGCAGGGGUUUACCCCAAUAUAUUCAUACUUUUCAAGGACACCCAGAGUCAGCUCAGCUUCAAAACAUGCGAAAAGGAUAACUAGUCAAUAGGCUUGUUUUAUACAAUCUAGGUUCCCAAGCCAAGUAUUCGAUUCCCCUAGACCAGAAAAUUAUGCCUUAGGCGUUGGGACUUUCUUGUCCGUUGAAAAAUCUACUCUUAAAAUCGAAUGAAGGACAAGGCCUGCUAAAUUUAUAUUCAGAACAAGGCAAAUUAUCAAAUAAUGGGCGAAGAAAAGUUUGCAAUAUAAUAAUAAAAGACCUAAUGCAAUCAGACCCAAAUAAAAGAAUAGACAGUUCUCUACUUCUUACAAAAGCACAAGAAAUAACUGAAGUAUUCAAAAAGGAAAAUAUAAGUACUUACUUUAUUCCAUACAUUAAUGAUACUAAACUUAAAAUAAAAAGAUGUGCAAAAGGCAAAUUAUAUGACUGUCUACAAAACAGGCGCCGCGAAUUAAGGGAGGCUAAGGUUAUUAAAAAGAAAAAUGGCAGCAACAUCAACAAUAACAGCAACGAGCCAGAAGUCGUCGAAGAAGAUGGUGGUGCAGAUGAAGAUAUCCAGUGGCUCCAAAACUGUACAGAACCCUGGCAUUUAGUGAUAGAGAAGUGGCAAAAAACUUCCAAAAAUAGAUUGAAGGAAAUAGAGACUUCAGAAAUGACCAUCGGAGCAUACAUUAAUAAAUAUCCAGUGUUAAAACGCCACGCGGGCAUGAGCUUCUUAUUGAAGAUUUAAGAAGGGCCCUAUUAGAGCCUGUUCACACUAGCAUUAAUAUCGCCGCGAGCACGCGGCGAGCAAGCUGCGAUAUCACACACAUAUAAAGUUUGCUCGCGGCGAUAUUAUUGCGAUAAAAUAAUCGCCGCGAUACCGCGACGACCCGCGGCGAGCUCGUUGCGUGCACGCCGCGAUCUCGCAUCGCCGAAAAGAAUCGCUAGUGUGAACAGGCUCUAAUAGGGCCCCAUACUUUACAAGUUGAAUGUAGAAAUGAUAAGUAUAAGGGACGUCGACGCUGAAAAGACGCCUGAACGGGUAGCAUGAUCGCGCGAAAAGUGAUAAAACAUCUCCCUAUCGCACUAUUAGUAAGUGCGAUAGGGACGGAUGUUUUAUCGCGCGAUCAUGCUACCAAUGCAGAUGUGAGGGGCCGUAAUGUGUAAGUGUAAUUUCUACGGACCAAUGAUUGUGAUGAUUAUAUUAAAAUAAAUGU